GGCUUCUCUGUCACGCGUUCUCAAUUCAUUUAGAUGUGUUGACAGUUGGUGAAAUUUGUUUGAGCUGCGCUAUGAAAGUCAACGGUCCAAUAUUCUAGAACACUGCUGCGCGCACGCGUACAUGUUUUGGACAAUAAUAAACUUAGGCUGCGUCGCCGUUUCUUUUUCUGUUUUCUCUAGUUGUGCGAGUGUGCUCUACAGUAACUCCACGGAAGCGCUGCAACCCUAGGCAGCUGGCACUUGGCUCAAUUCACCGACUGGGAAAGAGGUCCCUGUCCACUGAUGACAGACAGGCUUGGCAGCAGACCAAACUACAAAGUGGCAGCUGUAAGCACAGUGGCUAGGAAGAACUCCCUAGAAGGCAGGAACCUAGGAAGAAACCUAGAGAGGAACCAGGUACUGAGGGAUAAAUUAUUACAGGGCAAUUUGAGGGAGGACACCAAUAAACCAUGUAGAAACCAUCAUUCAGAAGGGUUUUACCAUGUACAAACCAGGUCUGUGUGGUUGAUGUUUGAGUGGUGAGGCAUAGCUGGUGUUAUUUGGAGCUGGGUGGUUAAGCGGUGAGUAGUUGAGCUAGCUGCUACAGCACAGAGGUACAGUACAGUGGGGAAGGCUCUGGUGCCAGCCAGGUGUAGGAGCUCCAGUGACAGGUGACAGGUAAAUUACCUCCAAGCUCUAGGUGCCAUAAUCAGCCUGUCUGCUCCAAUCAACUGCACUCUGCUCUGUUCCACUCUCACAAGAGUUUUUACUCUACCAAAAGCAGCCCCUCAACUCCUCCUCCCGUGUAAUCUGCUUACAAGGCUCGUUUUCUCUCCCUCCUUCAAAUUGAGACAAGCCUUUUCUUGAGCGCUUACUUGUCAGUAUUGAGGGAGAGCGAAUGGAGGCUAAAUGGGGCUGCUGUAGCUCUUUGUGUGGAGGUAUGUGUCCCUGGCUCUUUGCCUCCGUCUGAGAGGGAACGACGUGGGAGCAUGGCUGACUUAAUCAUUCUGCUUUAAUCACUCUCUCAAUCACUCUCUCCUCCACAUUGUCUGACCAACAUAGUCUGGAAAUGUUCUAGAAUGCAAUCUUCUUAAUGGGUUCUUAAUUUUUUUUCCCGAAUUC
rnacentral:lncRNA from 1 species